rnacentral:rRNA from 1 species
UAGCGUAUAUUAAAGUUGUUGCGGUAAAAAAGCUCGUAGUUGGAUUUCUGUUGAGAACGACCGGUCCACACAACGUGUGCGCAUCUGGUUCGGUCUCGGCAUCCUUCAGUUAAAUGUUACUGCGCUUGAUUGCGUGGUGCAAUUGCUGAACUUUUACUUUGAGGAAAUUAGAGUGUUCACGGCAGGCUAUCGCCAGAAUACAUUAGCAUGGAAUAAUACUAUAGGAUCUUGAUCCUAUUUUGUUGGUUUCUAGGAGCAAGAUAAUGAUUAAUAGGGACAAUUGGGGGCAUUCGUAUCACGUAGUC